UCCGGAUUAUCUCCGGCAGUCUCUCUAGAGUGCCCAACUUAAUGAUGGCAACUAAAAAUAAGGGUUGCGCUCGUUGCGGGACUUAACCCAACAUCUCACGACACGAGCUGACGACAACCAUGCACCACCUGUCUUCUUGUCCCGAAGGACUUCCUCGGUUAAGAGUAAUGCAAGAGAUGUCAAGUUCUGGUAAGGUUCUUCGCGUUGCUUCGAAUUAAACCACAUGCUCCGCUGCUUGUGCGGGCCCCCGUCAAUUCCUUUGAGUUUCAACCUUGCGGCCGUACUCCCCAGGCGGGAUACUUAUUGUGUUAACUGCGGCACGGAAGGGGUCGAUACCUCCCACACCUAGUAUCCAUCGUUUACAGCGUGGACUAC
rnacentral:misc_RNA from 1 species